rnacentral:tRNA from 1 species
GUGGAUGUGGCUUAGUGGAAGAGUGCUUGUCUAGCAUGCAUGAAACCUUGGGUUCAAUUCCUCAGCACCACA